AACCAACAGGGAUUGCCCUAGUAACGGCGAGUGAAGCGGCAACAGCUCAAAUUUGAAAUCUGGCUUUCGGGCCCGAGUUGUAAUUUGUAGAGGAUACUUUUGAUGCGGUGCCUUCCGAGUUCCCUGGAACGGGACGCCAUAGAGGGUGAGAGCCCCGUCUGGUUGGAUGCCAAAUCUCUGUAAAGUUCCUUCGACGAGUCGAGUAGUUUGGGAAUGCUGCUCUAAAUGGGAGGUAUAUGUCUUCUAAAGCUAAAUAUUGGCCAGAGACCGAUAGCGCACAAGUAGAGUGAUCGAAAGAUGAAAAGCACUUUGAAAAGAGAGUUAAAAAGUACGUGAAAUUGUUGAAAGGGAAGCGUUUAUGACCAGACUUGGACUUGGUUAAUCAUCUGGGGUUCUCCCCAGUGCACUUUUCCAGUUCAGGCCAGCAUCAGUUUUCGCCGGGGGAUAAAGACUUCGGGAAUGUAGCUCUCUUCGGGGAGUGUUAUAGCCCGUUGUGUAAUACCCUGGCGGAGACUGAGGUUCGCGCUUCUGCAAGGAUGCUGGCGUAAUGGUCAUCAACGACCCGUCUUGAAACACGGACCAAGGAGUCGUCUUCGUAUGCGAGUGUUCGGGUGUCAAACCCCUACGCGUAAUGAAAGUGAACGCAGGUGAGAGCUUCGGCGCAUCAUCGACCGAUCCUGAUGUUCUCGGAUGGAUUUGAGUAAGAGCAUACGGGGCCGGACCCGAAAGAAGGUGAACUAUGCCUGUAUAGGGUGAAGCCAGAGGAAACUCUGGUGGAGGCUCGCAGCGGUUCUGACGUGCAAAUCGAUCGUCAAAUAUGGGCAUGGGGGCGAAAGACUAAUCGAACCUUCUAGUAGCUGGUUUCCGCCGAAGUU
rnacentral:rRNA from 1 species